GGACGUUCUCAUGAAGUAACAAAUGGAGAGGAAUUGGAUGAGUUUCUCUUAAAUAGAUUGAGCUUCACUUUGCUGUUUGGCAGGAACAGCUUCAGCAGUCUUUGUAGAGGGACAUUUAAAGUUAUGAGGGGUACAUACUCUGGCAACAGAGAGAGCAAAGAGUUGGAAUGUGAAGACAGACAGAGGAAGACAGGAGAUCGGUGACAGCAACAACUUAUCAUAGUUGAGCAAGAAGGGGGUUCAAAGAACAAGCGUGGAUCUUGUAGAUCGGAGGUCUCCAGAGUACGCUGAGUGGCUGUUUCUGUGUAGAAUGCUCCCGGCCUUAGGAAGACUGCGGCUUGUAGUGUGACUUGUACAGCAGCCUUACAGCCUGUGCUCUGUGGGCCUGGCAGAUUCCGCAGUGUAGGCUCUGCUUCCUCCAGAGCCACCAUGCAAGAACGAGCUCCCUGCACUCUCUGUAGAUCAAGAGUUCAGUCUGUCACAUUGUAGUUAUUUAUGGCUUCCAGGGUUUGGAAAAUACCAGAUGCAUCCUUUAUUGAAAGCAAUCUGUUUUUAAGUCCCUAGAUUACCUUGCAGUUGGAUCAGCUAUUUUGCAUUAAUAACAAACAAAUGACUAUAA